AUUGAACGCUGGCGGCAUGCCUUACACAUGCAAGUCGAACGGCAGCACGGGGCAACCUGGUGGCGAGUGGCGAACGGGUGAGUAAUGCAUCGGAACGUACCUUUCAGUGGGGGAUAACGUAGCGAAAGUUACGCUAAUACCGCAUAUCCUGUGAGCAGGACAGCAGGGGAUCGACAGACCUUGCGCUGAGUGCGCGGCCGAUGUCAGAUUAGCUAGUUGGUGAGGUAAAGGCUCACCAAGGCGACGAUCUGGAGCGGGUCUGAGAGGAUGAUCCGCCACACUGGAACUGAGACACGGUCCAGACUCCUACGGGAGGCAGCAGUGGGGAAUUUUGGACAAUGGGGGCAACCCUGAUCCAGCCAUGCCGCGUGAGUGAAGAAGGCCUUCGGGUUGUAAAGCUCUUUCGUCCGGGAAGAAGUCGCACGGGCUAAUACCCUGUGUGGAUGACGGUACCGGAAUAAGAAGCACCGGCUAACUACGUGCCAGCAGCCGCAGUAAUAC
rnacentral:rRNA from 1 species